rnacentral:pre_miRNA from 1 species
AGAGGGAUAGCUGGGUCAAAUGGUGGUUCCAUUCCCAGAUUUCCAAGGAAUCUCCAUACUCCUUUAUAUAUUGGCUGCACCAAUUUGCAGUCCCACCAGCAAU